CGGUGGGGUGGUAUAUCUAGCGUUUAUCCUAAAAGUCAUUCAUGUGGCAACGGCCAUCACGCACAAGACAUCAAUUUUGUCGGCCAGCUUAUYAAUACUGACAGUAGGACRUUUGUUUGGGAGAAAAACAAGCCUUACAUCGUGAUAACUGGUGCAGGCUGUUACUGGGUGAAAAUAGGAGCAUUUGCAUCCAAGUCAAGCUCACCGCCAUCGCUACAGAUUACCAUUGACGAGGAGCCAGUUGCACUGUUCAACAGUUCAGGAAAAUCUCCAACCAGUUACAAAAUAAGUGUGACAUCUUCAGCUCCUAAGAGCCAGUCCACCCCGUCCCGACAUCGAUCAGACGUAUCACCAUGGCGACCAGGUUCCAGUCUAUCGGGUGCCAUCUUGGUACCGGGCCACAGUCGACUGGGGAUCUGGGCCGCUAGUACAGUAAGUGGAACAAGGCUCGCUGUGGAAGGCUAUCUAGAAAUACAUAAAGUGUACUAAAACACGCAUUAAUUCCGCGAAAGAAAUAUUCUAAUUCCUAUUAUAUAGUGUUGAUGACAUGAUGGAAAACAAAAGUAUUGUUUAAUACCUAUUUUGCACUAUUUCUGUUUCACGCAUUCAGUGCGUCUAUACUCUAACUCCAGCAAUAGAGUCAUUUUCAUCAGACUGUGAAAUAGGAAGUGUACUAUUAAAUACUAUUACCCCCUAUUAGCUCCCAAUAAUUUAACUUAUGACAUGGGACAAACUAAUGAGGCAAACACGGUUUUGAUUUUACCUUUUGGUAGCCUACUACACCCUAAUAGUUACUAUUAAACACUGACUAGUAGUAAUUGUUUCACAGACGGAUGAAAAUGACUCUAACAUCACGUACAGAUAUCGUCAGGUGCUUUCCGCGAUAACGUAUGUGGUAAUCUCAUCAUUGACAACCUGAUGCGGCGGUGUUACGAAUUUCAACAGUCGAUAUAUUAUCAUUGAAAAUCAGCGCAAGAAACUAACAAAUUGCGCUCAGGUAAUUCUGCAGUUUUUUUAAAAAAACAGGCUACGUGUACCAAAAAAACAAGUGAUGGUUUUAUUCUCACCACGCAGGCGUUGUAACCAUUGACAUUGAAUGGUUUCAAUUUAUGCAUGACAUUAUUUUCAUUUGAAAUCGAGAUUUUUACGUGACAUAGAAAUUUAUUCAUAUAAUAUUAAAAACUAAAUAAUCUUUGUCUAUAAUUGUAAUUAGUAUGAAGUAAUUAUUAUUAAUUAUUAUUGUAUUGAUAUUAGCUGAUAAUGAUACAAAUUAUAUAUUCCAAAAAUAUGAUUGCUAUACUUGUGCAUUUUCCGUCUUUGUUGUUAAUACAAGUUUAAGGCUGAGAAACACGAGAUGCAACACCACUCAAAU